AAUGUUGUGGCACUCUUGCAGAGAUUUUGGCAGGGGGAAAAAAAGAUUAAGUGGUCUAUGUUAAUGAGAAUCAUGGUAAUUCUUGUGGGGUGGGGAAAUGUCUGUAUUCAGGGCUUAGAUGAUUCCCAAAAUUGAACACUGCAUGAACGGCAAAAGAUAGCACGCUGUUUCCAAGGGGUCUGCUGUAUUCUGAGCUUUGAGUAGUUCAUGUUGUAGCUGAGCACGUGGGAUCAGUGAGAUUGCUUCAGCUAAAGGUGCUCUCAUAGAUGUCUGGGGUAAUCUCCAUAGUGUAGUGGUUUUUUAAUGUGUUUUUUGUUUGCUUGCUUCUUCUUGUUUCUUUUUUUGGAUGUUAUCCACACAGAGAGAAGCAACAUUUGGUGUCAGUAAGUACAGGAGUACCACCCCUAAGACAGGCAGCUUUAUGCUAUAAUCUGAGAGGCACGGAGUCAGCACAUUUUUUGGCUUUCCUUCCCUAUGUGGUUCUCUGGCAUGCCAGCUCUGUGUUCUUCCUCCAAGCAAACAACUGCAGGUACUUCAUACAGCAGCCAUCACCCCCCCUGCAGGAAGCUGCUGCUGCUUAUUGGAGGCUGCAGUAGCAGAGACAGCAUGUAGGAGACGUGGAUCUUCCCUUUGAUUUCUGAAAGUUGGGACACUGAAGAUCCUCAGCAACCAAGCUAUCUGCUGAACUUGGAAGUUUGCUGUCUGUUCACUCCAAAAUACAUCACUUGUGACCGGCCUGAGUUGAAAUCAGCAUUUCUUGAGCGAAAUGAGCCUCUAACCAAAGGCUGGCUUCCUGCAAGGCCCGUGGCUCCGAACCUGAGCUGCACACAUCUUUGUGCAGUGAAAAAUGGAUCAUGAAGAAAUAGUUCUGUCUAUGAAAGCCUCUAAAAACUAAAAAAGUCAACUUGGUGAUGGGUAGAUAACUAAGGAAAGCAAGAGAAGUUAGUGUUAAGAAGAGGAAUCAUGCAGCUAACACAUUCGGGACAAUUAAAAAAUAGCAAUCAGUGACCAGAUGCAUGCAUUACUAACAAGCGUAGCUGAUGAUCCUGCACUGCUGUGACCUUCACGCUGCCGUCUCCCUUCCUCCACCCUUUGCCAUUCUCUGUACCUAAUUAAAAUUCCGAAGUCCUCAGGG
ensembl:lncRNA